rnacentral:tRNA from 1 species
AACUAAUGUGGCAGAAAAAUGUAUUAGAUUUAAAAUUUAAUUAUGAAUUCUAAAUUCCUUUAGU